rnacentral:lncRNA from 1 species
CGGCGGCGGCGGCGGCGGCGGCGGGCGGGGAGGAGGCCGCGCCGCCCGGGCCCAGGCGCCGCUCUAGCCGCGCCGGCUCAGCCGAGCGCGCUGCGCCGCGGCCCCUCGCGGCCCGCCCCGGGCCCGGCCGCGCCGCCAUCUUCCGUGCCUCGCAGUGCUCGCGCCCCGCCCGCCGGGGUCCCCGCGGCUCCGGGGAGGCCCUCCCGGCCGCGCGCGGCGCCCUCCGGAGCGCGGCGGAGCCCCGGGUGGGAGCGGCUCCGGGGCCGCUGGAAUCCGGGGCAGGACGUCUUGUUUGCCCGGGCGGCGGCUCCCCGGCCAAGCCUGCACCGGCGCCUGCGGGGACCCCCGGGGACCGACUUGAACUCGAGUCACCUUCUGGGGCCGCUGUCACCCGCAGACCCAGAGCCCUUGGGCGUGCCGGGUGGGCAGGCCUUCCCCACGGGAUGAACUGCGCCUCAGCCGCCGUGCCGGCACGCCGCCCCCGCCGCCCGCAGCGGUAUUUUAAGCCGGUGGUGGUGACCCGAGAUCGUGAAAACCUUGAAUGCCUGCUAAGAAAUUUCAACUUUAUUCUAAAGGCAUUGGCAACUGAAUGAAGGUUUUGGUUUUAGAGCGAGAGAAUGACACUUUCAGAGCAUUCUGAGGAAUGACUCAGAAAACUAUCCAGAGGAUGGCUGUAGUCAUCCAGAUAAGAGGCAAUGAUGGCAUGAGCAAAGCCAAUGACAGUGCAGAUGGAACACAAGGAACAGGUGCAAGAUUUAUUGUGGAGAUAAGAGUGGAACAACUUAGCAACCAAUGGGAUAUGAGGAUUGAUGGAGGCAAAAAGAUUGCAAGUGACUGGGAAAGUGUCUGGAAGGAUGAUGGUUCAUAACACACCAGAAUGGAUGAGAAGAAGAAGAAGUCUUAAGAGUUGGAAAGUACCUUUGGGGUCUUCCAGACGCUUCUACAACCUCCCCAAAAGUGAUCUUCCCUCUGUUUCAGUAUGUCUGGUGACAGAGUGCUCACCAUUGGGUAACUGUUCUAAAGUUCUACAAUUAGAGAAG